UUGCCCUUAAUUCAACGGUCAGAAUGCGCCACCGAUAAUGUCGCAAUAGAAGUUCGAUUCUUCUAGGGCAAA
rnacentral:tRNA from 1 species